rnacentral:lncRNA from 1 species
UAUAACAUAUAACUGAAUGUAGAUGAGAACAAUCUAAACAUUUGAUUAUCUUUGCUUGUUGAAGAAAAGUAUAGGUCAAAAUUGACAAUAUUGUUUCUACUCUAAAUUCUAUAAGCACCUUAAAGACAUCAAAUGCAACAGGAAUCGGUAGAUUGGCAUGACUAACUCAAUUCUACUAUCACACGUUGGAAUUUCCUCGAUUAGCUCAAGGACAUCAAGGCAACUUGUGAAAUCAAAGGUACAACUACUUUUGGUGGUUAAUUAUUCUCCUUGAACAAGCAACUCAAAAUCUAAUAGAUGAAAUUAUUAUUCAACAAUGUCAAGUUCAGCUUUUUCUUUUUCAAAUUAUCUAUUGAAGAUCUAUCAACUUUGGUUAUGUUUUCUAUUUCUUUCGUACCCUAACUCUUCUUGCAUCUCUUUUCUUCCACCAUCUAAGGAAUACAUAAACUCUGGUAUACCAACUACCAGAGCAUGUCUAUUUCAAAAUAUUGGAUGCUCAUCCUCAUGGCAUAUAUGCAUGCAAAUAGUACCAAUAAUUAUACUUGGUCAUGGUAGAAAAAGUAUCCAUACCUUUAGAAGAACAAGCUUAUACUCUAUAAGCUCAUUGUAAGUGCGUUGUAAUUUAUCAUUAUUUGCAUUCAUUUCUACGAGUUCUGCCUCAAGUUCCCCAAGUUUUAACUACCAUGCCCAAAUAGAAGAAAAAAUUAGAGCAUGACAACCACGAGCCAAUUCAAGGGACAUAAUCAACUUCUUUACAUACAUCUAGACCAUCCAUAUCAAUGUCAGUUCGUGUAACGGGCUUUGACGAAGGUGACACACCCGCCUUCUCCAUUUGAUCCUUGAAAAAUCGUAACUUCCGUGACAUCUCUCCACAUUUUUUGAUCUUAACAACAAAUAAGUAAAUAGAUAAAUAAAUAAUACUUCUACCGACAUAAUCUACUUUCAAACUGAUAAAAGAUUCAGAGUAUUUGAUGACAGAAGUAAUAUUUCACAACAGGACAGAAGCAGAGUUAAAUCUUAUGCUAUUUCCAUUGUUUAUAUUAUCAUCGUUGUCAUUUCAAUCUCCAAACUAGAUAAGGCACAGUAUUUACUGCUUCAAACAAGCAGUGAGUUUAGUCUCUCAUUCCAUGGUAAAUUGUUGAACGCAAAGAACGCAAACAAACUGAUUAUGCAUUUCUGGAAGUAUCUUUUUCUUUGGCCUGAGCAUGUGUGUGUUUGACAGAAAUAAUAAAGUUGAUGUGUGAUCAAGGCUGUACAAAAGAGAAAUUCCAACUGAAGGGGGAGAGAGACAUAGAGGCAACAAAAACAGAGAUGAGCACAAUCUUCUGGAAGUCAUUUUCAAUCUUCACCAUACAUGGUAAAAUGUUUGUCAUAAUCAUAAAUGGUUUAAAAUUCUUGUGAAUUCUUCUUGAAUUACUACAACAGUACUACUCAGUGCAAGACAAUGUAAACAAAAUCAAGCAGUUUAUCAGUUUAUCCACCAAUCUAGUCACUUUAACCACUAUGCAUUAAGUUCAUUUUCACUUCUAAUUAUUAAGUCACACCUCAAGAUACAAGCAAGACACAACGCAGUG